UACGUAGGGGGCAAACGUUUGUCCGGAAUCAUUGGGCGUAAAGAGCGCGUAGGCGGUCCGGUAAGUCCGCUCUGAAAGUCCGGGGCUCAACCCCGGGAGGCGGGCGGAUACUGUCGGGCUAGAGUCCGGAAGAGGCGAGUGGAAUUCCUGGUGUAGCGGUGAAAUGCGCAGAUAUCAGGAGGAACACCAAUGGCGAAGGCAGCUCGCUGGGACGGUACUGACGCUGAGGCGCGAAAGCGUGGGGAGCAAACGGG
rnacentral:rRNA from 1 species